rnacentral:lncRNA from 1 species
CAAACAGAUUGAAGCAAGAUUCCAUAUGACACACAUGAUCUAGGAGUUUUAUCGGGUGCGUCCAAAUUGAUUUCUGAGAAUAUGGUACGUUCCAUGCAAACCGUACACCUAUCUUUCAUCAAGAUUGGCACUAUCUCCAAACAGACCGAACCGAGCUUUCACUUGAGCCUCUUCACCUAGGAGUACCAUCGGGAACUUCCACAA